ACAUGUACAUAAAUGUUUUCAUAAAACAACAAUCUAUAAACAAAACUAUAAACUAUAAACUAUAAACAAAAAUGAAAUGUUACCUAAAAUAUGUGUAUGUAUAUUAGAGUGCCAAUGGAAUAAGCAUCUCAAAUUUUCAAACGGGAUUUUCCUAAAAAUGUUGAUUCUCACGAAAAACGACCAUAUGCAAAAAAUCAGCUCAAUCGCAAAUUAAAACUUUGACGGCUGUGUGACACAAGUAAAUAAAGUUAAAAAUUUUUUAUUUUUUUGGCCAUUAUAGCAUAUUAUAUAUUUUAGGCCGUAAAUCGAAAACGUGCCACAAUAGAAGAGCGAAACAGCCGUUGUAGCGAAAUGCCGUAUAAAGAGCGGCCGUAUAGCGAGGUAUGGGUGUACAGCUUCGCUUUGCGGCCAAGUUUCAUGGGACGUAUCUAGGCCGUAAAGCGAGGUAUGGGUGUAAUUGCAUUCUACACAAUAUACUUCAAUUCAACCGACUUCUUACUAUCUCCUGGAGACUCAGAGAAAUGGAGUUGUUCUAUAGUUAUGAAAUGCAGUGUAUGUUAAGAAUUACUACAUACUUACAUGGUUCUGAGGGGCAGUUUCAAAAUGUGCCAAUUCCUGUUCUUUUUUUGCUAACGCAUUAAUAGUAAUCCCACACUUUUUUAGGAAGAUAAACUCGGAUGAAAAUUGUUAUGUAGUGUAUGUAAUGGUCUCACAUUGGAGGAUAGAAAGAAAUGUUCACUCAACAUAGUUUAUAUUUUUUCUAGUAGGACUGAAUAUUUCAAAAGAACUCACGGUAAUAUUUUGCAUGAUUCUAUUCAUAACAACAAUUUCCAUCAAAUAACAAGAGCACGUUCUCGUUGUACGAAUGUUUGAGAAGCGUGAACACUUAUCGCUAGCGGAUGUAUGUGGUUCAUCAAUAUGAAACAAAUAUUGAGACAUUAGUACGAUAAAUGAUUCACAAUCAAGAGAGAGGAUGUACUCUGUGGUUUCGAGUGCGUCUACCUCGCACGAUAACCAAAGUAAAACUUUGCUUUCGUAACCAUUGCAACAAGCAAAAAUCAUUCCAAUUUGAAUCGCGAUUAUGAGCGGUUGGUGCAACUUUUGUGAAUAAGAAACUACAGCUAAUUUCUUCACGUAUCACGUGUUCAACCAUAAGUCUCCAUAGCAAACAAGAUGAAGUGGAGCCGCUUGUUUAUGUCCGCCAGUAAAAAGGCGAGUUCGCCCGAUAAGAGGCAAACAGCCAACAUUGGACUGAAAUCGAUUCGAAGCAAAGCAUGUUGCAGCAAAUGUGCGCUUCUGUGUAAAUGCACCCACCAUAAGCGUACUAUGCGAGCCAUUCCAGUGAGUCACUUCACCGGAGGGAUUUUGCCCUAAUGCCAUUGGAAGCAAAAUUGAAUACAAUAUAAAAUCAAUCGCUUCUGCUCAACAUCAAAUGAAAUAAAAUAAUUCGAACACAUAA